rnacentral:rRNA from 1 species
CCUACGGGAGGCAGCAGUGGGGAAUAUUGGGCAAUGGGCGCAAGCCUGACCCAGCAACGCCGCGUGAAGGAAGAAGGCUUUCGGGUUGUAAACUUCUUUGCUCAGGGACGAAGCAAGUGACGGUACCUGAGGAAUAAGCCACGGCUCACUACGUGCCAGCAGCCGCGGUAAUACGUAGGUGGCAAGCGUUAUCCGGAUUUACUGGGUGUAAAGGGCGUGUAGGCGGGGACGCAAGUCAGAUGUGAAAACCACGGGCUCCACCUGUGGCCUGCCUUUGCAACUUUGUUUCUUUAUUUCU